AAGUAUGAAAGAGAAUCAGAGAGAAUAUCUGAAGAUUCAACAUAGAAAGGAUUCAAACAGUCAUUGAGAACAGCAAUACCGUCUGAUCAGCACAGAGAGACAUGACAACUGGCAAGCAUCAACUAAAUGCAAUCAGUGAUGAUAAUGGAGAACUUACCGUUAACUGAAAUCGUAUGGUAAAAAUGAUAGCAGCCUUUUAUGAGGAACUAUACAGACCAAGACCAGCAAAUACAGAAGAUAUCCCAGUAAUACUAUCACAAGACAUCAACAACAUUGAACACUUAAAGCAAUGUUUCCCAACCUUUUUUGUCUUCAUACCCACUUUGCUUUUAGUAAAUUAUCUUGUAGCCAUGUUACAUGUGCACAAGGUGCAGAUGCUGCAGAGGCGAGCCUCCAGGGGCACCAAUCUGGCAAUUUCACCAGUGCUGUAGUGAAGGGGCAAGAGGGUCUAUCAUGCCCCGGGCACCACUCGCAGUGUGUCGCCAAA
rnacentral:lncRNA from 1 species